GUGAGGGGGUGACAGAGUGAGGGAAGGGGAUGACUGGUGACAGAGUGAGGGAGGGGAUGACAUGUGACAGAGUGAGGGAGGGCGUGACUAGUGAGAGAAGGAGGGAGGGAGUAGUGACAGAGGGAGGUGGUGACUAGUGACAGAGUGAGGGAGGUGGUGACUAGUGACAGUCACCACCUCCCUCACUCUGUCACUAGUCACCCCUUCCUUCCCUCACUCUGCCACUAGUCACCCCUUCCCUCACUCUGCCACUAGUCACCCCUUCCCUCACUCUGUCACUAGUCACCCCCUCAC